UCAAACUCUCUCCAGCGCCGUCAUAAACCAUAAGUGGUCAAAUACGAGAUCUAUAGAAAUCCAUACCAGGAUCAAGCGAAAAACCUUAUUUCUAGCUAAAAGAUUUCAGUUUACCUGCUUCGUCUUAUUCUUCUCCAUCUUUGGCCAAUAGUAUUGGCAUAUCAUGUCUAGAAGGGGAAACUAAGCGCUUCAUACACUAAACAAAUCUAAGAGGAGUAAAGAAGAGAAAGAUGUGGAUAAUGGACGAAAGAUUGGAUGGAUAAUUUAGAUGACAUAACUAAAAUUGGUUUGGGCGGGCUCGGGAAUGAUGGCACUUUUUGGAAUCACACUUACUAAUUUCCAAGGUCUUGACGGCAGAGAUAAGUGCGAUGCCGGGCCAGAGACGGUGAAGAAGAUCUUGAAAACUGGAGGUGUGUCCCUAAUGCUUCUUACUGCUUCUUCAUUUGCUGCUAUAUGCACAAAAAGUGUUGAAAAAUCUUUCGAGAAUACGAAGGACAAAUUGAAGAAGAAGAUUUUGAGGUUUGGAUAAAGCAUGUGCAUCGUCCCAAUGGAUUAACUCUCCUGUCUGGUUUACGAAGCCCUUAGAAUUUCAUUUUUCAUUCAUUCCCCAAAACUCAAAACACUUUGAUUUUGUUCAGUGCGAAACCUAAAAACUUCAACAAAAAACAUUUUAUCCUCCAUGGUUCUGUUUUUGACAUCACGGCAGAAAUAAAUUUCUGUUUCCAAAUCAUCAACAUCAGCAGGAUUUGGUGGUAAAGAUGUUCUAGUUAGGAAGAUUGUCCUGGAUAAUCAUAUUGCUUCGUCACAUUUUGAUAUACAAGGAAAGGAUUCAGUGUCAAAGCCAUAGACUCGCAGUUCAGGUUCCUAUAGCUGUUGGAUUGGAUAUAUCACAUGUUAGUUGUUGGUAUACUCAAAGUGGUGAUGUGAGUCCAUCUCUCAUUGUCAGACUGAUCCCUCAGCGACAGACGGCAGUGCCCUGUUGGAAGGCUAAUGCAACAGGGAGAAACUACAACUCUACGCAUGACAUUUUGGAGAAAACCUACAAAAGAAAUUUUUGGACGACAAACAGUGAAGCUUGCGCUUUGUGCGUUUCUUGAGGUACAGUAUGGAUUGCAUUUAUGGACCUGUCAGUAUUUAAGAACCAGUCUUGUCUCCCAUGAUCAGGAACAAUGAUAUAGAUAUAUCUUGGAAUUUAAGUCUUUUGCAUAAGGAUUUUGGUGGUUUUAGGGGUCCCUAUUUGGAUCGAAUAAUAUGAACGUAUGAAGGAAUUUUCUUAAGUUUCUGAAUACGUUGUUCAAAUUGUUUUGCUGCAGUGUUGUACAUUAGAGAAGUGGAAAGAUUAAUGUUCGAGUUUGUUACCAUUCUUGUUGUUGGUCUAAGGAACCGAAUUAUGGAAUUCAAGGUUCUGGAAGAACCUUUUAAAGUGGAUCCCAAUUUUUGACCUUGUAAUAGAUGAUCGUAAUUGCUUUGCUUUUCAGUCUCACAUUAUGGCCCAUCCAACUGUUUGGUCAGUAUUGUUGUUGAAAGUCCUCACUUUCUCGGAUCUGUCUCUUAAAAGGAAUGUCUUUAAAUACUGUUCUUGAAAUUCUGGUAAAAAUCGAUGUCAGAAUUUUCCUAUCUAGCAAACUGAUAUUGUUAAUUUUAAAACAGUGUAUGAUACUCGCGUAACAUGUCCCCAAGUUAGUAACAUACGGAAGUAAUCCAUUUGAUGCAGUAUAGCACCCUGAAAUUUCAUUAUUUAUUGGUUUGUCCUGGUUUCACAAGGUAGCCAAAUGGUUUAAGUGGUACUGAUAAGAGGCAGAAGUCAUGUACAGCACCCUGGAAUAUCAUUAUUUAAUGGUUUGUCCUGGUUUCACAAGGUAGCCAAGUGGUUUAAGUGGUAGUGAUAAGAGGCAGAAGUCAUGGUAUUUACUUCACCCCUAUCACUUGAUGUUCACUAUAGAUCGAUAUUUGUAUAUUUGCAUUCAAAGAAAAAGGUUUUUCCACCUUAUUUAACUUAUCAAUAACAACGCGAGUAUCUGUCCUUGCACUUGAAGAAGCAAAAGAGCCUUCGUUGAGCAUUCCAUAGUCAUAUAUUUUUGGUGUCUAGUAUUAUUUAUAUAACCUCAGGAUUUAAGAAAUCAAGGUUAUGGGUUUUCUCCAAUUCCAUUUAGGUAACUCUACUCAAUACAAGGCUUGAUCUUGGUUUCCUGUUUAGAUUCUGGUGCAAUUUCUGAUGAGAAGCUCUUUAUGGAUGGAUAUUUUUUUCAAGUUCUGUUGGAUAUCAAUUUUCCAUUUAACUCACCUUUAAUUGUACGGUGUAUGCUUUGAAGUUCUUAAAUUUUGUGGUUGCAUGAAUCAAAAUGCAUUUUUUCCUUUUGUGUGACCACUUCUCAUUGUGUGACUGAUUCCUCAGCUACUGAUGAUAGUGCCAGCUUGGAUGGCUAAUGCAACAGGGGGAAACUCCAACUCCAUGCAUGAAUUUUUGGAGAAAACCUACAAAAAACUUUUGGACAAGAAACUGUGAAGCUUGCUAUUUGUGCAUUACUCGAGGUCCUGUUGCUGAAGACAUGUACGGUAUACCAUUGGCAAGUAGCAAUAUGGGUCCUCCAGACAGUCCGUAAGCAGGAGGAGGCUUUUUAGUUGUGAUUCACUUUUCUCCAGAUUCCAUUUAAACCACCAAAGUACCGUGUACAAGGUGUUGGAAAAACCUGACAAAAUCGGCGGGCUGUGAAGCUUAUUUCUGUCGUUACCUUUUUAACUGGGAAAGAUUAGGACUAGUACACUGAUGUGAAAGAGAAACUCUUGGAAGCUGCUUGUAAUUCUCCUGCAUUAGCCCUUAGGUUCCGAGUUCAAUUCAACAAAUGGGCCAUCAUAGUUCGACUGCUGUUGCCAGAGAGAACUGUCCUCAUGCAGAAAGGCAUGAAAACGGUAUUGAGGCCAUACUUUGAGCUUACAAAUGUGACUCUUCAAACUUGCACUAAAUGAGGCUUCUCGUAUAGGGAUGUUGCGGAUAAGUUUGCAAGUAUUGCCAGCUCAGACAGGACUCCCAAUCUGAUUGUGAUGUUGCGACAUAUUGUCAUCCGGACAGGGCUUUGCAAUAUAAGCAUCUCUUAUCCUCGCAUUUCACUUGUUCACGUUGCUCACAAGCUGAGGUUAGACUCAACGAACCCUGUGUGGUGCCGAGAGCAUUGCAGCCAAGGCAAUCCGAGAUUGUGCCAUCGAUGCAACUUUGGACCCUACAAACGGGUGGAGGAUGGUACCUAAGGAGACUGGAAAUACUCCCUCUGUAAAUGAACCUAAUCUGCUUUCAUCUCGAGGACUGCCUUCUGCCUCAACAUGCAUAAUGAAGCUUGGCGCCUUGGGAUUCUCUCCAAAAGAAAAGAGAGGUGAGAGACGACAACAGAAGGAGCUUGUGAAGCAUAUUGCCGUGGUCUGUGGAUGAUGACAAUGAGUUCUAACUGUCGCCUUCCAGCAUUUGUCAAGCUGUUACUAUGACAGUACCAUUCCUUAUAUUUAUAAAAACUGAUCUUGGUGGGUUUUAAAAGAAAAUGAAAACGACAAGCAUGUUUGCCGAAAUGGUUUUUGUUAAAGAAAUUUACAAGAAUAUUUAUAUCAUAAUCAUUUUCAAAUUUUACCAGGUCUUAAAA